rnacentral:tRNA from 3 species
GGGCUUAUAGUUUAGUGGUAAAACAACGCGUUUGCAUCGCGUAGUCGCCAGUUCGAUUCUGGCUAAGUCCA